UAAAGUGUAUUUAAUAAAAAUGUUUGUAUUAAAUGAGGGCUAUUUAAUUUAAAAAGUGUAUUUUACAGUGAAAUAUAUACUUAAAAAACUUCUAGUAUUAUUUGUAUGUACAUAAUCUUAAAAUGAAUGAUGGGAAUGCCCAGCCCAGACUUAAAAACACCAAUGUGUAGUGCUUUAGACAAUUUUACCUGUAGGGAAAAGAAGGAGAGAUCAGACUGUUACUGUGUCUAUGUAGAAAGGGAAGACAUAAGAGACUCCAUUUUGAAAAAGACCUGUACUUUAAAGAAUUGCUUUGCUGAGAUGUUGUUAAUUUGUAGCUUUGCCCCAGCCACUUUGACCUAACCUGGAGCUCACAGAAACACGUGUUGUAUGAAAUCAAGGUUUAAGGGAUCUAGGGCCUGUGCAGGAUGUGCCUUGUUAACAAAAAAUGUUUACAGGCAGUAUACUUGGUAAAGGUCAUCACCAUUCUCUAGUCUCAAUAAACCAGGGGCACAAUGCACUGCAGAAAGCCGCAGGGACCUCUGCCCUUGAAAGCGGGGUAUUGUCCAAGGUUUCUCCCCAUGUGAUAGUCUGAAGUAUGGCCUCGUGGGAUGAGAAAGACCUGACCGUCCCCCAGCCCAUCACCCGUAAAGGGUCUGCGCUGAGGUGGAUUAGUAAAAGAGGAAAGCUUCCUGCUGUUGAGAUAGAGGAAGGCCACUGUCUCCUGCCUGCCCCGGGAACUGAAUGUCUUGGUAUAAAACGCGAUUGUACAUUUGUUCAACUCUGAGAUAGGAGAAAAACCGCCCUAUGGUAGGAGGCGAGACAUGUUGGCAGCAAUGCUGCCUUGUUAUUCUUUAUUCCACUGAGAUGUUUGGGUGGAAAGAAACAUAAAUCUGGCCUACGUGCACGUCCAGGCAUAGUAUCUUCCCUUGAACUUAAUUAUGACUUAGAUUCUUUUGCUCACAUGUUUUUUGCUGACCUUCUCCUUAUUAUCACCCUGCUCUCCUACUACAUUCCUUUUUGCUGAAAUAAUGAAAAUAAUAAUCAAUAAAAACUGAGGGAACUCAGAGACCGGUGCUGGUGCAGGUCCUUGGUAUGCUGAGCACCGGUCCCCUGGGCCCACUAUUGUUUCUCUACUCUUUGUCUCUGUGUCUUAUUUCUUUUCUCAGUCUCUUGUCCCACCCGACUAGAAAUACCCACAGGUGUGGAGGGGCAGGCCACACCUUCAUUACUGGUAUCAUGCUUAGGUUACUGCCAUAAAAGUGCUCAACUAAUGGUGCUGAAUUAAGUAAUUGAUUGCUAAGUACAUAUACGUUCUUAGUAUUUACAUCGUUGCUAGUCCAUGUCUGUAUAUGUUUAAGAUUCCAUCAGAUCUUUAUCUUAAAGAAAUAUGAUGAUUGAUUUCAUUAGAAUUACUCAUGGAGAAAUCAUGUGUAAAGUCUUCAUUUGAAAAAAAAAUAGAGGCAAGUUUGCUGACCGCAAAAUUUUGUAUUCCUGAGAUUAAACAGGCAAAUGGGAGAAAAGGAGUUUUAAAUGAAUAAUAAUAACUGAGGCCACUUAACCUCCACCAUUUAUAUUAAAACAGAUAAUUUCUAUUUAUAAAAAAAUUCAUGUUUGGUUGAUAGACAUUAAAUAAAAGGUUUUAAAUAUAAAUCAAAGUAUAUUGAUACCAUAAAAUGUUAAGCACUACAUAAAUGGAAAUUUUGUCAGUUAUUACUGAUAAUAAAAAAAUCUAUAUAACUUUAUUGAUAAUUCCUGCCCAGUUUGGUCUCUCAUUUUCUCAAUUCCAGUAGUGUUGUUAACCUGUACUACAUAACUUAAAUCUUCAUUAUGAUGGUCUUUAGGUAAUACAGUGUAAUGUUUGUGAUUAUUUUAUAGUUUCAGCUUAAAACCCAGCAGGAGGAGAUGACUAGCCUGACCUUGUGACUUUCAGAAAUCUGAAAUACUAUGCAACUGUACAAAGCAAAGAGUAACAAUAAACCUUAUUUCAAAAUUCUACUAAUAAUGAAUACAAUUAUUUUGAGUCAUGUUUGCUACCUAUAUAUCAUAAAUGUUAAUAUUUAUUUUAUAAUGUAAAUAAAGCAACUAUAGUUUCAUUACAAUAAUUUUAAUUAAUUUUACACAGUUCAUUAUGUAAAUUUUUGAUGAUUAACAAUAUAGGACAAAUAAUUAUUUUUUAACAUUUUGUUUUGUCACCUCCCAUGUGUAGUAGAAACAAGCAUUUCACACACAGGAACCAAAUAUACCAGGAGCACGGUACUACUUUAAGAUGUUGGGUGGUGACUUCCCUGGCCAGAGAGGAUACCAAUAUGCACAAGCCGAUGAGAGUUGGAGUUUCACCAAGUUCCUGAGGCUGGUCUUGAACUCCUGAGGCCAAGCAGUCUGCCCGCCUCAGCCUCCCAAAGUGCUAGGAUUACAGAUGUGAACCACCACACCUGGCCUUUUAUUUUUUUAAACAAAUCAGUUUUGGAAGUAGAAUUUGCCACCUGUAUGCCAUCUGAUGAUUCUGCACAUGCACAGAUUAAUUUAUGGUUGAAAUCAUUCUACAUAUCUGAAAGGUUUGUGGGUCGGUAUAUGUUGGGAAAGAAUUAAAAAGCUAUUUCUGGUUCUGUCAUUACAAUAAUCCCUAAAAAACAUCAUUCUUUAAAUUCAUAUCUUUAAAAUUUUAGGUUACUUUAAAAAUGGUAAUAUCAAAUGAGUAUUCAUUUGUUAAGUAAAGGUUUACACAUUUAAAAGUCAAAUUCAAUAAUUAGAUAAUCAAAAGGAUGACCAAAAUAAAUAUUAGUGAUUAAAUAGAUCUACAGAAAAAAAAAAGCUAUGAAAGUUAGCUCACGUAUGUUAGUUUACUUUUAGUUUAUGGCUCAAUUGUACCACUUCCCUUCAGAUUAAAAUUAAAUGAAAAUGUCAAAUACAAAGUUUUUAAUAAGCUCCUCUGGUGACUUAAGGAUUAUUGAAUAUCAAAAUAUCUUAAUUGUUGAAUUUUUCACUUUAAGGUAAAUACAAAGAUUCCCUUAUAAGUCAUUCAAAAUUUUCCAAUCGAUACUAAUAGUAUAAGCAUUUUUAUAAAAUCAUGUUUUAUCUGGUAUAUACAUUCACUCACCAUAAACCUAUUAAAUAAAGAAGGUGCAAUUUCUCUCAUUUACUGAUUCCAUUUUUUCCAUUUCUUCCUUAGCAUUUAUUUUAAGUUCACAUAUACAUUACAUAUUUAUUGUGUAUACUUUAAAUUUUGUCUUCCACGAAUGCUCCAAGACAGCAAUGAAUCUUGUCUGUUUUGUUACCGCGUCACCAAGGCCAGUGUGUGCAGUAGGCACUCAAUAUUUAUUUUUAGAAUGAAAGAUGAAGGAAGAAAGAAGGGAGGAAGUGAGCCAAGGAGGCUCAAUCUUGACCAGUGCGAUUUCAUGUUGUGAACCAGUAGCGCAGUGCUAUGAACUGGUAGAGUUUAAUUGGAUGGUCUGGAAAUCUUUCUGAAUUAAUGAUAUUUUUAGUGAUCCCCCUUUGAAGUUCAUCAACUCGUCAUUAUCAGAUAGUCAAUGAUGACCUUCCUUAAUUUUUAGAGAGGAGAGUAACGUACCACAUAACAACAAUUCUCACAUAAGGCAUUGCAAGUUACAGUCAUGUAGUAAGAAAUUUUCUAUUAAUAAUAAUUAAAAUAGUUAAGUGUGUGAAUGAUUUACUUUUUAAAAAAUAAAGUAAAGCAAAUAAAAGAAUAUCCCUCCAACACACACCAUUCUCAUUCACACACUGUUAUAUUUUCAAGACAGAUGGAAGUUCAGAGGAACUGUAUACAUAAUGCUGGAUUCAUCCAUCUGAGUCCAUUAAACAAGUCAACUUCCUUCAUAUACGUUCUUGUGGAAAUAGAAAAGUGAGAAUUACUGAUGUGUCUUCCUAUGUACUAAUCUGCCCUGUAAUAGAGCUAUUUCAGAGAGAAAUUGUACGAGUUCCAUAAGUCUCCUGGAUUGCCUAAGUUAUAAUAGAAAUGAAAAAUGUGGGGAAAAAUGGCCAAGUGUAAAUGAAUUGGCCAGGGUUCAUAGAAGAUUUCCAUAACUUGAUUCAGGUCUGAAAUAAAAAGAACAAUAUUUUCCUCUGAAAAGUGUAUCGAAAACCUGCCUGAGAUUUUAAUAUAAAAUCAUGUCUAGGGCAGAGAAGAAGCUGCCCAAUAUAUUGACAUAAAGACUAUAUCUGGUACGAUGAAUGGAAAUUGAAUAGCAUCAGACCAAAUUCGCUGUGCUUAUGCCUUUUCUGAUUUGUACUUUGUAUCCAAGAAAAUAUUACUUUAUCUUAUAUGAGAUGUUUUGCACAUUUGAGGGUAAUGUGCACAAAUGUUUUGCACAUUUGAGGGUAAUGGGUGUGUGAUAGUGUAUGUGUGUUAAGAGAGAUACAGAAAGCAUAGAAUGUAAUUAGCUAAAACAAAGUACAUUUCCAGUUUGCAUGAGAAUAAAAUAUUUGUGAAAGAUUUUGAUAAAAUCAAACGUUGGAUAUAAUAAGGAAAAUUGUUUUUUAACUUUCUGGAGUAGAAUAUUUCUAAAGUGUAUUCUAAAAUGACAAGUUUUCCAGGAAAUGCUGAUGUGUAAAUGUUAGGUGUUUGUAAAUGUUAGGUAUUCAUUUUCCAGGAAAUGCUAAGAUUUGUAAAUGUUAGGUAUUCCAAAAAUCUCAUAUGUAAAGAAAAUAAAGUGCAUUUUAUAUUAUAGUAUUUUUGAUUCGUUUCUGCUAUAAGAAACAGAAAAUCUAAAUGAUAAUAGCUUAAACAAGAUAGGAAUUUAUUUCUCUUACAUAAAAGAAAUCUGUAGGUUUGCAAUUCAGGACUGGAAUUAUUCUCGAUGGUCUCUGGAAGCCAAGGUCCUUUUGCUUGUUUAUUUGCUUUGUUAUUCCUCUUGCCUGCCAUUUUUACACAUGGCUUCCACAUCAUGGUCCAAUAUAGCCUCAUGAGCUCCAACCAAUAUGUCUACAUUCCAGCCUACAUGAAGGAGGAAGGGGCAAUGGAGAGUCUACCUUUAAUUUUAAGGACAUGCUGGAAGUCACAUAUACUAAUUCAACCUAUAUCCCAUAACCCAGGCCAUU
rnacentral:lncRNA from 10 species